UACGUAGGUGACAAGCGUUGUCCGGAUUUACUGGGCGUAAAGAGCGCGCAGGCGGUCGUUCAAGUCGAGUGUGAAAGCCCCCGGCUCAACUGGGGAGGGUCAUUCGAUACUGAUCGACUCGAAGGCAGGAGAGGGAAGUGGAAUUCCCGGUGUAGUGGUGAAAUGCGUAGAUAUCGGGAGGAACACCAGUGGCGAAGGCGGCCAACUGGACGAAUACUGACGCUGAGACUCGAAAGCGUGGGGAGCAAACAGG
rnacentral:rRNA from 1 species